rnacentral:lncRNA from 1 species
UGCACCGUUGACGGUAAGACGUACAAGAUCGGAGACCAAUUCAUGGCAUCGCCUCCCGGGUGUGCGAGAUGCGAAUGCCUUGAUAAAGAAGGCUACGUAUGUUUAGGAUGUCCCGGCCUAAUGGUCCGACAAGAUGUAUUAGGCUGCCGGAUUGUGCAGGGAACGCCUGGCGUUCCAUAUCCGGAUUGCUGCGAAAGCAUACGUUGCGACGAAUCAGAGGGCAACUAACGCCGGACUCGUCGUCCGUAUUAAAUCUACGUAGAGAUGAGCAGUCGUUGCUUAUAUUAACAAGCGCGAGCAGCUAUGCGUCUGUUACAUAACGCGCAUUGGAUCUCUAUAAUUAUAUAGGUGUGAUGAAUGAGGUGUGAUCAUAGGUGUAUGGAGAUCAAGUUAUGUAUUCGUUAUAUUAUGCGAAACUACACUUGUGUAAGUUCGUAGAGUAUUAUGGGAGCAUACGGGUAUUUUGUCGUUAUGAUUUAUCGGAUGUAUUAGUUCUCAGGUGUAUUUUAUUUUGUAUUUUAUUUAUGUAUGCGCAUGCGUACCAUCGCCUUCCGACCAUCGUUGAAUAUUCGUAGGCAAUGCAGUUCGUAUGGUUACAUUUGAGAUAAAAUUAUUUUGUUUAUUAGUUUAUUUUUGACGAAUUUCAAUUAUAUUUCUUAUUUGCUUUGCCAACAUGUAAAUGCUAUAUAAAUCAAUAAAGGAUUGAACAAACUGGCAAUAAACA